rnacentral:tRNA from 1 species
GGGAGUGUGCCCGAGUGGCUAAAGGGGACGGGCUGUAAACCCGUUGGUUAUGCCUACCUAGGUUCGAAUCCUAGCGCUCCCACCA